ACCUUAUCCAGAGAAGGGGAGAGACUGGCUCUAUGAUCCUUCAGCAACCUUGCAGCCAUGCAAAAGGUGCUAACUCCAGUAACAAGUUGUAUAACUUGUUAGAAGAUAAGGA
rnacentral:ncRNA from 1 species